rnacentral:rRNA from 1 species
GAUGGAAAGCGGCGGACGGGUGAGUAACGCGUAGGCAACCUGCCCUCAGCAGAGGGAUAGCCAUUGGAAACGAUGAUUAAAACCUCAUAAUGCCAACACAACACAUGUUGAGCUGGCCAAAGAUUUAUCGGCUGGGGAUGGGCCUGCGUCUGAUUAACUGGUUGGUGAGGUAACGGCUCACCAAGGUAACGAUCAGUAGCCGACCUGAGAGGGUGAUCGGCCACAUUGGAACUGAGACACGGUCCAAACUUCUACGGAAGGCAGCAGUAAGGAAUCUUGCACAAUGGGGGAAACCCUGAUGCAGCAACGCCGCGUGAACGAUGAAGGCCUUAGGGUUGUAAAGCUCUGAUCUGGGGGAAGAAGAAAGUGACGGUACCCCAGGAGAAAGCCCCGGCUAAAUACGUGCCAGCCGCCGC